rnacentral:lncRNA from 1 species
AUUUCUGGUAAGUGCAAAAGCCAUUCCUUUAAGUAUGCUUCCGUUGUCUAGAAAGGCAAGAUAGCGAGAGCCAUCUCCCCCUCUGUCUCCCUCAGGCCCACCCUCCAACCAUGUUUGCAAUAGCCCUCUGGGGCUGCAAGGAUUAAAUGUGGUUGGUGCUAGGCAAGGGGCUAAUACAGCAAAAAGAGCACAGUGCCAUUCAGAAGAAGAAAACCUUAAUUGUGAAAUGAUUUUGGAGAAAUAGUUUAAUCCUUACUUAGCAAUAUGCCAGGGCUGCUACCCGCUCUGUAAAUGUGCCAUUCUCUUUUGUUUCUGACAACAUAUGUGUGAGGUUUUGAAGGAGAUUUUGAAAAUUAUUCUGAGCUCCAAUGGCCAGUGACCACAUUAAUUGGACAAUUUUAGCCACCCCAGCCUAACUGUUUAUAAGGACUUAUCUGGAGAACAAAGCACCAUAUAGAACCACACCUCUGAAGAUCUGCAUUGCUCUAGUCUAGUUCCUCUGACACUACUAGCAUGUGGUCGUGAAGAGGGAAGCAUUAUGAGCAGCAGCAUUCACUCAACAGAGUUGCAUGCUGGUUUAAAUGACAAGAUGCAGUGCAACUUCCUCACUUCCUUGGGUUCCAGUCAAAGGUCUCUACCCCUUAUUAAUCCAUUGUUUACCCCUUCUUUUUAAAGUGUGUGUUGUUCUGUAACAAGAACUUAUCACAGAAUUUCUGACUUGAAUGCAUAGCAAAUGUCACUUCAGAUGUGCUGAUUGGAUGAAGCAAUUUUCUUUGGCAGUCUAUUUCAAAUGUCCAACUUUACCUCUGUCUUUGUGACUAACUUCACAUUAUAGGAUUCUGAUGCCUCUUGGUAUGUGUGUGUUUUAGAAAAGUAGCUUUGGGAAAGGACAGUUAAAAGUGCCCAUCCACUCUUUUCCCAAUGCAGAUUUCCCCCAAUGCAGCUUCUCGUCCCUGCCUGAGGGGAUUUCAGAUAUGUGUUUGCUGAUGCCAGUUAGUGUGUGUGUGUGUGUGUGUGUGUGUGUGUGUGUGUGUAAAUCAUGCAUUUGUCUGUACAUCUAGGAUUUGUGGCAAGGAAUUGUUGCCUUUUCAACUUGCAAUGCUACUUUCUAAGGCUACUUUCAUAUUUACCACAGUUCUUCCAGGCUAAGCAGCCAGAGACUAGUCACUAGAACCUAAUCUGUGAUGUGCUGCUGAACAGUUUUGGAUCCCGUUCCCACUGAGAGUAUUUGGAUGGUUCUUCAGUUGUCAAACUGGGUCUAUUUUGAGUUGGUCAGAAUAGAGUAGCACUCUGUCUUGAUUCUGCUUAAGGCCUAGACUGUCCUGGAUCGCGGAAUUAUGAUAUAAACGCAUUACAUUCCCCCCACCUGUCCACUCUGCAGAACAGUUCAGUUUAACCUGAGCUGACGCUACCUCUAUAAAACAACUCUUCAAAUGCUUUCUUGAAAGCCACUUGCCCAUUUUUCUGUUUUUCUUCAGUGACACUUUUCUAUCCCAUAUUAAGCAUAUCUAGGUGGCAUCAUAAAUGCCACCAAUCUUACCACUGUCAUCAUGGUGUAAAUUUCUUUGACUAAAAUAACGAGUGUGACCCUUUCCAGUCCAUAUAUUAAUGUGGGAAAGGUCAGACCUCAGCUGAUCGCUGGAAUUUCUAUGACAAAAAGUGGAAAUCAGCAGUGGUACUUAAAAGGCUACACCAGGAUUCUCACUGAAUUCUGAAAUACAAAAAUAUGGACCACAUUUUUUCUUAAUGGCCAGCAUGAGCAAAAAUUGUAGGUUUUGUUAACAAAAUACAUGUGAAUCAUCUUUAUGUGCUCUUUUCAAAAGCUAGUGUGAGUUUUUACAUGAAUGUGACAACAAAAAUGAAUUCUGUUUUAAGUGGCCUUAAAAGUAUUUCUGUUCACAAGGACAAGAAAGCAGGCACCCACCAGAUAAUUUGAAUUCCUUUCUAGGAAUCAGUCAAAUUUAAAAGUGUCUCCCUUUUUGCAUACAAUAUCACCACAUUUAUCAGUUUUACAAGUCUUAGGGACAAAAUUGCAAUCUUUGUGUCACUUGUGAAAACACAUUUUAACUCUACAAGCCUACAUGCCCACUAUGAUCAGCAAGACUGCCAGUGAACACUCUGUCAUUUCACCCCAUAGCUUCUUUGUUAGACUCCUGAAUUAAGAGAUUCCUGGACCAGAGUCUUGUUAAAAUUAGCCUAUAGCACUUUAUUAAGCAAGAACUUGAACUCCAGGGAUCUGGAACUAGGAAUCUUUGGCUAUGUUCCUAUCUAUGCUAACAAACUGCAGCACUUCACUCAAGCAGUAAUUCAGCAGUAAAAUUCUCACUUACAGUAUAUAUUGCCUAUGUUGCCAAUUCCAUAGGGGUAGCGUAUUUGCAGAGAGCAAAGGUGGAGCUUUUCUUUUUUUCAAAAAGAUGUCUUUCUGUAGAUGGGCACACAAAAUAUGCAUUGAAACAGGCAGUAUGAUUACAAAAUAUAGUUUUCCUGGAAUUGUUUCCAUUAUCUCUAAACUGAUACCCCUUCUGAGGUCCACUGUGAAUGGCUCCUGUUUUUCCAAGUUUUGUGAGCUAUCAAUAUCCUCUUUUGAGUAUUCAGUACUAUCGAUCAUGUUAAUUUCUAAAGUGGAAAUAAACUUUUAUCUUUUAUCUUAUAACCACAGCUUGUUGUAUGUACAUUAUAAAGUUCAGCCUCAUUUAUCCAAAUGCUUGCAGGCUGGGUUAGAUCAUAAAUGUCUGAAUAAUCAAGUAUCAGGUGAGCAGGAGGACCACAAUGAUAUGAGAUUAGAUGGGAGCACACAAACUGGUUUAGAUAAUCCUCAGAUGUUCAGGUAAGGGGUGUGUGUCACUACUUUAUGUACAAAAUAAGUGGUGGUAUGGGAUUGAAUUAAUGAACGUUACAGAAGAGCAUUGGACUUUGCACUUAUAUAGUCAUAUGCUUAUUUGUCAGUGACGUUCAAUAAUACAGCACAUGUUACACUGAACAACGGGCUCUGCUAGCCAGAUUGCUAUGAUACAUAUAAAGGAAAAUGCAUUUGUUGGGCAAGGAGUCACCAUCUGUAGCUACUGUAUGUUUCAGUUUCUUCCGUAGAGCUCCACUGUCUUUGAGCUGAUGUAUAAUUAUCUAAUGAGCCACUGUGAGCUGUGAUAGUGUGAAGAACAAACUGGCAUGUUAUGCAAAAGAUAAGAUAAUUAAUGUUAAAGUAAUAUUUUAAAACUCAGUUGAGUUAGCUGUCUGUUUACAUAUGCUGGACAAUUAAGGAAACUGUGUACAGUAUUUUUAAAAUAUUUUCAUAUAGUGAUCCAUUCUGUUGUUUCCAGUUUACGUAUAUGAUACUAUUCUAUAGUUGGAUAUACACUUGUCUUAGAUAUUGAAUUAUAUAACAUUAUUCUUUCACAAUAAUAGUAUGCUGACUGAAAUAGUUCUUCUACCUUAAAUUUCAGUCUUAUUUUGUGCCGAUGAAAAUGCAUGCAUAGUUCCAUUAAUUUCUUUGGACUAUUAUGGAGUUUAACAUUUCAAUAUUGCCUGCCUGUAACAAUGAAUCCAGUUAGAAUGAAUUAACAAUUUUGGUCUUUUAUAUUAUUUUCCAAUAUGUUCAUUUAAUAGCACUUUAAUAUUAUAUGAAAUGAAGUAUUGAAAGAUGAACCUAUAGCAUUUCUGGUUGAAAUAAUUAUAUAUUUUCAAAUAAGGUAUUUCAUUACUAGUUUUAUCAUAUGUCUGUCACCAAGUAGCAGCAAGCUGCAAAUUCCUAAAAUUGUAACAAUUGUCAGUAAGAAAAUAAAACCCAUUAAUACAACAUAGUAAAAUUGCUGAAGACUCUGGAAAGUAACCUUUCAUAUAAUUUCUAAAGUUUGGGGGAAGGUGUUUGUGUGUUUUGGUAUAGUCUUGUAGAGUCUAUGUUUCUUAGGUUAGAUGGCUUUCAUUGCAAUCCUGUAACAGUCUACACAAAAGUAAGUCUCAUUGAGUUCAAUGAGGCUUACUUCCAAGUGGGUGGGUAUAGGAUUGCAGCCUUAGAAUGCAACAUUUGUUGUUGGCAGGUGAAUAUCUUAGACUCUGCAGCUGCCCAGCUCUUGAUGAAUGUAGCUAUGAAAAAUGUUCAGCUUUGCAAUUCAAUACCCACAAAGUAACACGAGUACUUGCAUAGCACAAAGCCUUACAACCCAGUCGUAACAUCUGCUGCGUCAACAAAGCCUGACUUUGCACUGAGGGUACCGUACUUUGAAUUGAGGGUAUCAGAACUGGGCAGGGAGAUGUACCAGUGCAAAAGUUUAGGGCUGGGACAAGGAUGAGGUCUUCAAGCUAAUUGAUGUCAGGGAAACUUUCCUGGAAGAGGGUUUGAAAAUAAAGAACUUGGGAAAAGAUGCCCAGUCACACCCAUGCCUCAUUUGUUGAUCCAAAUCAAAUAUUAGCAGCUUGACAAAUAGACUAAGCCCAGGGAGGGGAAAUAAUGUUGUUACUGGAAGCUUUUAAGUUAAGCUUUUAAGCAAACUAGUUUUGUUCCAUAGUCUCAGGGUGAUAUUUUUAGCAGAUUCAUAUAUCAUUUCAAAAGACUGUAAAAUCCCAAAGCAUUGCAGAACAUGGAACACUCCAAAGAAAUGAUCUAAAGUUUCAAAGUGGCCCUUAGUUUUCUUUUAAUACACAUUUUUUUUCUGCCAGGCCUGAUUCUAUGGUCAGAAAGGGUAGUGUGGAAGACAGGGAAUAGCAAUGUGUGUGUAAGUUUAAUCUACCCAUUCUCUCUUCUGCAUCAGAAAUCAUGAUGUCUUCUCUAAACACAAAUGAUUUAUAUACCUUGAAAGCAUGAUCAUAUUGAGGACUGCUAUGUGACACUGUUUUUACUUAUUCAUUAAAGUAUUUAAUAAAUCAGCCUAUGCCC